rnacentral:rRNA from 1 species
GACGAACCGUGCGAACGUUAUUCGGAAUCACUGGGCUUAAAGGGUGCGUAGGCUGCGAGGAGGGUGGGGUGUGAAAUCCCUCGGCUUAACCGAGGAAUUGCGCUCCAAACCGCCUUGCUGGAGUGAGACAGAGGUGAGCGGAACUAAUGGUGUAGCGGUGGAAUGCGCAGAUAUCAGGAGGAACACCGAUGGCGAAGGCAGGUCACUGGGCCGCAACUGACGCUGAGGAGCGAAAGCAUGGGGAGCGAACAGG